rnacentral:misc_RNA from 1 species
UUUCCGUAGGUGAACCUGCGGAAGGAUCAUUAUUGUAUAACCGAGGUGCGAGGGCUGUCGCUGACCCGAAAGGUCGUGCACGCCCGAGUGCCCUCACACACAUCCAUUUCACCCCUAUGUGCACCACCGCGUGGGUCCCCCUUUGGCUUGUUCGGAGGGGGGCUUACGUUUUCACACAAACUUUGUAUGCAGUGUAGAAUGUAUUUUUUGUUUUUGCGAUCACGCAAUCAAUACAACUUUCAACAACGGAUCUCUUGGCUCUC